GAUGAACGCUGGCGGCGUGCCUAAUACAUGCAAGUCGAGCGAACAGACGAGGAGCUUGCUCCUCUGACGUUAGCGGCGGACGGGUGAGUAACACGUGGAUAACCUACCUAUAAGACUGGGAUAACUUCGGGAAACCGGAGCUAAUACCGGAUAAUAUAUUGAACCGCAUGGUUCAAUAGUGAAAGACGGUUUUGCUGUCACUUAUGGAUGGAUCCGCGCCGCAUUAGCUAGUUGGUAAGGUAACGGCUUACCAAGGCAACGAUGCGUAGCCGACCUGAGAGGGUGAUCGGCCACACUGGAACUGAGACACGGUCCAGACUCCUACGGGAGGCAGCAGUAGAGAAUCUUCCGCAAUGGGCGAAAGCCUGACGGAGCAACGCCGCGUGAGUGAUGAAGGUCUUCGGAUCGUAAAACUCUGUUAUUAGGGAAGAACAAAUGUGUAAGUAACUAUGCACGUCUUGACGGUACCUAAUCAGAAAGCCACGGCUAACUACGUG
rnacentral:rRNA from 1 species